ACUCGUAUAGUUACAAGUCAGAUAUAUUGCCUGGAAAGAUAUCUAAAUGACUGUAGUGUACAAUUAAGUGUAUGAUUUAUUUCUAAAGCUGGUGAGCAUCUCCAGACAAGAGAAGAGCAGCUUCAGUCCAGUGAGGCCCAGAACAGUUUACUGCACAUGGCUCUUCUGAGCACAGUGGUGUUUCAAGGUGCCUGGCAGAAACAAUUCCUCUUCACCAACACUCAAAACUUGCCCUUCAGCCUCUCAGACGGCAGAACAGUCAAAGUCCCGAUGAUGUACCAGUCAACCGAAGUCAAUAUUGGGCAUUUCUGCCUGCCUUCAGAGCAUGCAUACACAGUGCUGGAGCUUCCCUACCUGGAUCGCUCACUCAGGCUACUGGUGGCCUUACCUAGUGACCGAAAAACCCCUCUGUCCCAGCUGGAAAAGCAGCUCACUGCCCGUGCUGUGGGACUGUGGGAUACUGGAUUAAGACGCACUAAGAUGGAUAUAUUUCUGCCCAGAUGCAGAUCAGGGUAAAUUUGAAGCCUGUUUUACAGUCUCUCGGUAUCUCUGACGUCUUCAGUCCCUCAGCUGCUGAUCUUAGAGGCAUCUCAGGUUCAUUGCUGUUUAUAGGUCGAGUUCUGAAUCCAGCCGAGAUGUCUUGAGAUGAUACAUGCAAUCACAACAGCUUGAAAAAAGGAAAAACACACACAGGACACAUCUGCAUUAUUUAGCCAACUUAACUCACAAGAGGACCAUUAGGAGGGUCCACUGGUGCUUCAGGAAGAGGGACAAGACUUUUGUACAUAUCUGUAAAUAAAAUUUUAUUACAUCAGGGUUUUUGCACUUCGAAGUGUCUGUUGUCAUUUUCCCCCUCUGCUCUUAAUAAAUGUUCUCAAUUCUGA